AACGUAGGGGGCGAGCGUUAUCCGGAAUCACUGGGCGUAAAGGGCGUCUAGGUGGCACGUCAAGUCUUGCGUGAAAUCUCCUGGCUCAACUAGGAGAGUGCGUGGGAAACUAGCGAGCUAGAGACGUGGAGGGGUGCACGGAAUUCCCGGUGGAGUGGUGGAAUGCGUUGAGAUCGGGAGGAACACCAGAAGCGAAGGCGGUGCACUGGCCACGGACUGACGCUGAAGCGCGACAGCGUGGGGAGCGAACGGG
rnacentral:rRNA from 1 species